AGAGUUUGAUCAUGGCUCAGGACGAACGCUGGCGGCGCGCUUAACACAUGCAAGUCGAACGAGAACCAGUCCUUCUGGGCUGGGGAAAGUGGUGAACGGGUGAGUAACACGUGGGUAAUCUGCCCUCGGCACCGGAAUAGCCCGGGGAAACCCGGAUUAAUGCCGGAUAGCCUCUCGAGCCCUCGGGUUCGUGAGAAAAGGUAGCUUCGGCCUCUGGCCGAGGAGGAGCCCGCGGCGGAUUAGCUUGUUGGUGAGGUAACGGCUCACCAAGGCGACGAUCCGUAGCUGGUCUGAGAGGACGAUCAGCCACACUGGGACUGAGACACGGCCCAGACUCCUACUGGAGGCAGCAGUGGGGAAUCUUGCGCAAUGGGCGAAAGCCUGACGCAGCGACGCCGCGUGCGGGAAGAAGGCCUUCGGGUUGUAAACCGCUUUCAGGAGGGACGAAGCCACUCGGGUUAAUAGCCCAGAGGGGGACGGUACCUCCAGAAGAAGCCCCGGCUAACUACGUGCCAGCAGCCGCGGUAAUACGUAGGGGGCAAGCGUUGUCCGGAUUUAUUGGGCGUAAAGAGCGUGUAGGCGGCCAGGUAGGUCUGCUGUGAAAACUCGAGGCUCAACCUCGAGACGUCGGCAGAAACCCUCUGGCUAGAGUCCGGAAGAGGAGAGUGGAAUUCCUGGUGUAGCGGUGAAAUGCGCAGAUAUCAGAAGAACACCCGUGGCGAAAGCGGCUCUCUGGGACGGUACUGACGCUGAGACGCGAAAGCGUGGGGAGCGAACAGGAUUAGAUACCCUGGUAGUCCACGCCGUAAACGAUGGGUGCUAGGUGUGGAGUGUCGACUCCUUCCGUGCCGAAGCUAACGCAUUAAGCACCCCCGCC
rnacentral:rRNA from 1 species